rnacentral:rRNA from 1 species
UACAGAGGUCUCAAGCGUUGUUCGGAUUCAUUGGGCGUAAAGGGUGCGUAGGCGGCGCGGUAAGUCGGGUGUGAAAUCUCGGAGCUUAACUCCGAAACUGCAUUCGAUACUGCCGUGCUUGAGGACUGGAGAGGAGACUGGAAUUUUACGGUGUAGCGGUGAAAUGCGUAGAUAUCGUAAGGAAGACCAGUGGCGAAGGCGGGUCUCUGGACAGUUCCUGACGCUGAGGCACGAAGGUCAGGGGGAGCAAACGGGG